CCCAGUCGCGCACCACUGCACGGCUGCACUUCCUCUUGUUCUUCUCCUUGCGUCACUUCACGUUGAAAUAAUCAGGAACCAAAUUCCAAUUUGGUUGGAACUUUGGUUUCCUAAUUCAAAGCAGCCCAUUCUAUUUAUUUGAUGGCCCACUAGCCCACUACCUAUUUUAGAAAUCGAACUUCGGAGCUCAGGAAGAACGGUCCAUCGAACAGGAAGUAUAAACUACGGUUGAGGUACGAAGAAGAUCAGGGGAUGCCUUAGAGUGAGGAUGCAACCAUCAAAUUCACGAUCGAUGCUUAAUAAAGAUAAUCAUGUAUCACUAGUAAUAAUGGAUGAACAAAUUAAACUCUAAGUCAAAUUUCAAUUAUUGAGUUGGAUUUUAAUAUUUAUGUUUAAUCAAUGUUAGGAAUAUUUAUUAAAUUUCAUUUAGAUUUCGAUGUAAAUAUUAAAGAAUUAAUCGAAGUGAAGUAUAAUUACU